GCCGGGGUGGCGAAACGGCAGACGCGGCCGACUUAAAAUCGGCUCUCCGUGAGGAGGUAGGGGUUCGAGUCCCCUCCUCGGCA
rnacentral:tRNA from 1 species